rnacentral:rRNA from 1 species
UACGGAGGGUGCGAGCGUUGUCCGGAAUCACUGGGCGUAAAGGGCGCGUAGGUGGCGCGGGAAGUCAACGGUGAAAGUUCGGGGCUCAACCCUGAAUCGGCCGUCGAUACUCCCGGGCUCGAGCACUGUAGAGGCAGAUGGAAUUCCGGGUGUAGCGGUGGAAUGCGUAGAGAUCCGGAAGAACACCAAUGGCGAAGGCAAUGUUCUGGCUCGUUUCUGACGCUCAGGUGCGAAAGCCAGGGGAGCGAACGGG